rnacentral:lncRNA from 1 species
UUUUUUUUUUUUUUUCAGAUUUUAACAAACAUCUUUUAGUAACUGAUAGAACUAUUACAGAAUAUUUGAACAAUCCAAUUAAUAAAUUUAAUGUAACUGACACAUGUAACCUGACAUCAAAUAAGUACAUAGUUUACAGUCAUUUCAAAUGGAAUUUUUUUAAAAUUAUUUUAAAUGGCUGGCCUUAAAGUUUCAGCAAAUUUUAAAGGAUUUAAAUCUCAGUAUAUUCUCUGAACAUCACAGAAUUGACCUCAAAACUAAUAACACAACCUUCAAUGUUUGAAAUAUGAUAUUCUUUUAAAAAUUUUUAGGUCAAAAAAGAAAUCACAAUGAAAAUUAGAACAUUUUGACUAACUGGUCAAAACAUAAUAGGACAUAAGAAAACCUAUGAAUUACAGUUAAACUCAUUUAUGAGUAGAGCUUAUAGCUUUAAAAGAAUACAUUAAAAAUGAAUAAGUGCUAAAAAUCAAUGAUCAAAGACAUUAUAUAAAUAUAGAAAAGGAAUAGCUAAUGAAACCUAAAGGAAAUAAAGGCUAGAAAUAAAAUACAGGGGGGAAGCAAUCAAGAUGACCAGCAAAGGCAUUUCCAAAGGCUCACUUGAAGUUGGUGGUCAUGAACAUGAAAUAAAAUUAGUUGGAGUUGAUGUUUAUUUUUCAUUAAAUUAAAAUUCAAAUGUAGGUAGUGAGUGGAUGAGGAAUUGCCUUUACCUAGUAUUUUUCCUUUUCCAAAAGCAAAGAACUGAAAAAGAGGGAUAAGAAGGGAGAUGGUAUAUAAAAGGAAGCUAUAAUUCAGAGAUGACACAGGUAAGGAAGCAUAAAAAGAAAUGGAGAGGAGGUGAAAAGAACAUAAUAUUCAUGGAUUGAAGACAGCAGUAUGUAAGUGGAGGGGCUUGAAACUGAGUCAUGAAUGGGAAUGGAGAAGCUUUUACCAAUAUCAUCCUAUCAUUUGUUCUUUUUUAACAAAACCUUGCCAUUUGCAGCAAAAUGGAUAAAACCAGAGAGUAUAAUGCUAAGUGAAAUAAGUCAGUCAGAGAAAGACAAAUGCCAUAUGAUUUUAUUCAUAUUUGGAACCUAAGAAACAAAACAAAUGAGCAACGAGGAAAAAAAGAGAGACAGACAAACCAAGAAACAAAUUCUUAACUACAGAAAACAAGCUAGUUAGUUACCAGAGGGAAGCUGGGGGGAUGGGUGAAUGAAUAAGUGAUAGGGAUUAAAGAGAGCACUUGUUAUAAGCACUGGGUGAUUAAAAUAAAAACUUUUUUUUAAAAAAGGCAACCUAUGAAAUGAAGAGAAACUAUUUCCAAACCAUAACCAAUAAAUGGUUAAUACCUAAAAUAUACAAGGAAUUCAUCCAAUGCAAUAGCUAGAUAACCCAAUUGAGAUAUGUUCAAAAGACCUGAACAGACAUUUUUCCAAGAAAGAAAAAUUCCAACACAUACAUGAAAAACUGUUCAACAUCACUAAUCACUGGAGAAAUGCAAAUCAAAAUUACAAUGAGAUAUAAAUUUAUACUUGGUAGAAUGUCUAUUAUCAAAGAAACAAAACAAAACAAACAAGAGGUACCACAUGUAGCUGAGAAUGUGGACGAAAGGAAACCUUCACACGCUGUUGGUUGGAAUGUAAAUUGGUACAGCUACCACUGAAAACAGUAUGGAGAUUACUCAAGAAGCUAAAAAUAGAACUACCAUAUGAUCUAUCAGUCCCACUUCUGGGUAUACUUAUCCAAAGGAAACUAAAAUAUCUCUAAAAGAUAUCUAUUCACAGCAGUAUUCACAACAGCAAAGGUAUGGGAAAAAGCAUGUUUCCA